ACGGAAGGCAGCAGUGGGGAAUAUUGCACAAUGGGCGCAAGCCUGAUGCAGCAACGCCGCGUGAGGGAAGACGGUUUUCGGAUUGUAAACCUCUGUCUUUGGUGACGAAGAAGUGACGGUGGCCAAGGAGGAAGCCACGGCUAACUACGUGCCAGCAGCCGCGGUAAUGCGUAGGUGGCAAGCGUUAUCCGGAAUUACUGGGUGUAAAGGGAGCGCAGGCGGGACAGCAAGUUGGAUGUGAAAUACCGAGGCUCAACUACGGAGCUGCAUCCAAAACUGUUGUUCUUGAGUGAAGUAGAGGUAGGCGGAAUUCCGAGUGUAGCGGUGAAAUGCGUAGAUAUUCGGAGGAACACCAGUGGCGAAGGCAGCCUACUGGGAUUUAACUGACGCUGAGGCUCGAAAGUGUGGGGAGCAAACAGGAUUAGAUACCCUGGUA
rnacentral:rRNA from 1 species